rnacentral:rRNA from 1 species
UACGGAAGGCAGCAGUGGGGAAUAUUGCACAAUGGGCGCAAGCCUGAUGCAGCCAUGCCGCGUGUAUGAAGAAGGCCUUCGGGUUGUAAAGUACUUUCAGUCGUGAGGAAGGUGUUAAGGUUAAUAACCUUAGCAAUUGACGUUAGCGACAGAAGAAGCACCGGCUAACUCCGUGCCAGCAGCCGCGGUAAUACGGAGGGUGCGAGCGUUAAUCGGAAUUACUGGGCGUAAAGGGCACGCAGGCGGUUAAUUAAGUUGGAUGUGAAAUCCCCGGGCUUAACCUGGGAAUGGCAUUCAAGACUGGUUAGCUAGAGUCUUGUAGAGGGGGGUAGAAUUCCAUGUGUAGCGGUGAAAUGCGUAGAGAUGUGGAGGAAUACCGGUGGCGAAGGCGGCCCCUGGGACAAAGACUGACGCUCAUGUGCGAAAGCGUGGGGAGCAAACAGGAUUAGAUACC